rnacentral:rRNA from 1 species
GACGAACGCUGGCGGCGUGCUUAACACAUGCGAGUCGAACGGAAAGGCCCUGCUUUUGUGGGGUGCUCGAGUGGCGAACGGGUGAGUAACACGUGAGUAACCUGCCCUUGACUUUGGGAUAACUUCAGGAAACUGGGGCUAAUACCGGAUAGGAGCUCCUGCUGCAUGGUGGGGGUUGGAAAGUUUCGGCGGUUGGGGAUGGACUCGCGGCUUAUCAGCUUGUUGGUGGGGUAGUGGCUUACCAAGGCUUUGACGGGUAGCCGGCCUGAGAGGGUGACCGGCCACAUUGGGACUGAGAUACGGCCCAGACUCCUACGGGAGGCAGCAGUGGGGAAUAUUGCACAAUGGGCGGAAGCCUGAUGCAGCAACGCCGCGUGCGGGAGGACGGCCUUCGGGUUGGAAACCGCUUUCGCCUGUGACGAAGCGUGAGGGACGGUAAUGGGUAAAGAAGCACCGGCUAACUACGG